GUGUUCAUUUUGGCCACAUAUAUACUAAAAUUGUAACAAUGCAGAGAAGAUUAUCAAAGGCCCUGCACAAGGAUGACAAACAUUUCAUGAAGCAUUCUGUAUUCUU